CAUAAUAUGACUCUUUCUAUUUCAGGACCUAGGGAGCUCACUGGUGCUGUUGAUUUAAGAAGUCAGUACAAAUUGCAGCCGCACCAUGAUUUCUUUUGCAAGAGGCCUUUGCCACUUGCAAUCUCAGAUACACAUUACCUUCACAAUGUUGUGGGGGACACUGACAUUCGGAAAGGAGAAGGAAUGAAGCUAGAUCAACUCGUUCAGAAUACUUAAGGGAUAAGCCUGCUUAUAUUCAGCCCUUUGAUAUGGAAACACUGGGGCAAGCAUUUCAGCUUCGAGAAACUGCUCCAGUAGAUUUACCCUUUGCAUACCUACUAUUUCGGGCAAACCAAAAAGUGAGUCCAAGGACAAAGCCAAAAAACAUAAAAAGCACAAAGACAAAGAUAAAGACAGGGAGCAUAAGAAGCACAAACAUCGACAUAAGGAUCGGUCUAAGGACAGACAAGGACAAGGAUAAGAAAAAGGAUAAGAAGCAUCAUGAGAAGAAGAGGAAGCAUGAGGGGACAGAGGACUCGGCAGACGUGCAUAAGCACAAAAAAAGCAAGCAUAAGAGUUCCAAAAUCGAUGAGAUGGGUAAUGCACUUAGUUAGCUACAGUUUUCUUCUUACUUCUACUGUCAACCAGUGUCAUAUUCUGUUAGAAGGAGGCUCAAAAGGUUUCCGUCACCAGACCCGCUGCAGAUCAAUUGUUUUGGAUCCUACUGAAGCGCGCCAGCGUUGGCAUGAGAUUGGACAUGGGAAGCGUCUUAUUUAUUAACCACGGUCCAUUGGCUGGAGUCAAGGAAAUUCUCAAGCAUAAAACGUCAUCUUCUUACUCGGCGUGCUUUUAAAGGAGAAGUUGGUAUUGAAUUUAUGGAUCUGUAUAGCUACCUGAUCCCGGUAUAUGAAAUUGAGCCUCUUGAGAAAUUACUGAUGUGAUGCUGCAGACAAAAUUGUCCAAUACUUGCGGUGUGAAGGGUACAAACGUUACCUCUUCCCAAAUUGUAUAAGGCCUGCUGAUUCAGAACCACCUCCACAUUACUUGUUUACAAGUGGUGCCAAGGAUGAAGUCGAAGCAGCAUGGAUGGCAGCAAUCAACAAGGAAAUUAAACGUGUGUUGACAGAAGUUCUUCUGAAGGUUACGGAUGAUCUUUUUAAUGAGAUCGCAACCAAAGUUAUGAAUGAAGAUGAUUCAUCAGCUGAACCAAAUGAGACCACUGGUGUCUCUAGCUCAAAGGAGCUUGGUCUGGGAGAAUCAAAAGUGAAGACCACAGCUAAAGUUGUAGUCCUUGCUAAGCCAAACAAUGUUAGCUCUACUCGUUCUGAUGGUACUGGGCUAAGUUCUCCUAAAGGUGUUCUUCUUGGUCUUGCUAGUUAUGAUUCAGAUGACGAGGAUGAUGAGGGCGAUGG